rnacentral:rRNA from 1 species
CAACGCUGGCGGCGUGCCUAACACAUGCAAGUCGAACGAGAAAGUGGGGGCAACCCUGCGAGUACAGUGGCAGACGGGUGAGUAACACGUGAACAACCUACCCUCGAGUGGGGAAUAACACCGCGAAAGCGGUGCUAAUACCGCAUAACAUCUUCAGAUCGCAUGGAUUGGAGAUCAAAAGCGCGAGUUGCUUGAGGAGGGGUUCGCGUCUGAUUAGCUAGUUGGUGAGGUAACGGCCCACCAAGGCAACGAUCAGUAGCCGGCCUGAGAGGGUGAACGGCCACACUGGAACUGAGACACGGUCCAGACUCCUACGGGAGGCAGCAGUGGGGAAUUUUGCGCAAUGGGCGAAAGCCUGACGCAGCAACGCCGCGUGGAGGAUGAAGGCCUUCGGGUCGUAAACUCCUGUCGAUGGGGACGAAAGCCGAGAGGUAUGACUGUACCCGUUGAGGAAGCCACGGCUAACUCCGUGCCAGCAGCCGCGGUAAUACGGAGGUGGCAAGCGUUGUUCGGAAUUACUGGGCGUAAAGGGCGCGUAGGCGGCCUGACAAGUCAGAUGUGAAAGCCCCGGGCUUAACCCGGGAAUUGCAUCUGAAACUGUUGGGCUUGAGUUCUGGAGGGGGUAGUGGAAUUCCCAGUGUAGCGGUGAAAUGCGUAGAUAUUGGGAGGAACACCUGCGGCGAAGGCGGCUACCUGGACAGAAACUGACGCUGAGGCGCGAAAGCUAGGGGAGCGAACAGGAUUAGAUACCCUGGUAGUCCUAGCUGUAAACGAUGAGCACUUGGUGUUGGGGGUAUUGAGUCCCUCGGUGCCGGAGUUAACGCGUUAAGUGCUCCGCCUGGGGAGUACGGUCGCAAGACUGAA